GUGGGGAAUAUUGGACAAUGGGCGAAAGCCUGAUCCAGCCAUGCCGCGUGAGUGAUGAAGGCCCUAGGGUUGUAAAGCUCUUUUACCUGGGAAGAUAAUGACUGUACCAGGAGAAUAAGCCCCGGCUAACUUCGUGCCAGCAGCCGCGGUAAUACGAAGGGGGCUAGCGUUGUUCGGAAUCACUGGGCGUAAAGCGCACGUAGGCGGAUCUUUAAGUCAGAGGUGAAAUCCCGGAGCUCAACUUCGGAACUGCCUUUGAUACUGGGGAUCUCGAGUCCGGGAGAGGUGAGUGGAACUGCGAGUGUAGAGGUGAAAUUCGUAGAUAUUCGCAAGAACACCAGUGGCGAAGGCGGCUCACUGGCCCGGUACUGACGCUGAGGUGCGAAAGCGUGGGGAGCAAACAGGAUUAGAAACCCUAGUAGUCC
rnacentral:rRNA from 1 species